AAGUUUUGGUCCUAAACUUGCCAUUGUUUUUUAUCAAAAUUAUACAUGCAAGCCUCCACGUACCAGUGAAAAUGCCCAUAUACACCUUAAACAGUUAACCGGAGCGGGCAUCAGGAUACAACAUUUAACUUAGCCUAGGACGCCUUGCUAUGCCACACCCACACGGGCUUUCAGCAGUAGUUAACUUUAAAACAUGAGCGAAAGCUCGACUUAGUUAUGAUAUUAUAUGGUCGGUAAAUUUCGUGCCAGCCACCGCGGUUAUACGAAGGACCAAAAACAAUGACCAACGGCGUAAAGCGUGACUAGAAAUAUACCUACUAUUUAAAGGAAAACAACCACCAAGUCGUAAAACACUACUGUGUGUUAGAACCACAACCAAACAUGCCUUUAAACUGGUUUACCUCACGAAAACUAAGAAACAAACUGGGAUUAGAUACCCCACUAUGCUUAGCCCUUAACAAAGAUAGUAAAAGCACAAUACUAUCCGCCAGAGAACUAUAAGCUAAAAGCUAAAAACUCCAAGGACUUGGCGGCACUUCAAAUCAAUCUAGAGGAGCCUGUCCUAUAAUCGAUAAUCCACGUUUCACCUCACCACCCCUAGCCAAUCAGCCUAUAUACCGCCGUCGUCAGCCUACCUUAUGAAAGAAGUAAAGUAAGCAAAAAAGUUAACAACUAACACGUCAGGUCAAGGUGUAGUUAACGGAGUGGAAGAGAUGGGCUACAUUUCUUCAAAGAAAAAACACGAACAGUAAACUGAAACGUGUACUCGAAGGCGGAUUUAGUAGUAAAAUAAGAAAUGAAUACCUAUUUAAAAUAUGCUCUGAAGCGCGCACACACCGCCCGUCACCCUCAUCA
rnacentral:ncRNA from 1 species